rnacentral:tRNA from 1 species
UGCGGGGUGGAGCAGUCUGGUAGCUCGUCGGGCUCAUAACCCGAAGGUCUCAGGUUCAAAUCCUGACCCCGCUACCA